AUUGAACGCUGGCGGCAUGCCUUACACAUGCAAGUCGAACGGCAGCGCGGACUUCGGUCUGGCGGCGAGUGCGAACGGGUGAGUAAUACAUCGGAACGUACCCUGUUGUGGGGGAUAACUAGUCGAAAGAUUAGCUAAUACCGCAUACGACCUGAGGGUGAAAGUGGGGGACCGCAAGGCCUCACGCAACAGGAGCGGCCGAUGUCUGAUUAGCUAGUUGGUGGGGUAAAGGCCCACCAAGGCGACGAUCAGUAGCUGGUCUGAGAGGACGAUCAGCCACACUGGGACUGAGACACGGCCCAGACUCCUACGGGAGGCAGCAGUGGGGAAUUUUGGACAAUGGGGGCAACCCUGAUCCAGCAAUGCCGCGUGUGUGAAGAAGGCCUUCGGGUUGUAAAGCACUUUUGUCCGGAAAGAAAUCGCGCUGGUUAAUACCUGGCGUGGAUGACGGUACCGGAAGAAUAAGCACCGGCCAACUACGUGCCAGCCGCCGCGGUAA
rnacentral:rRNA from 1 species